GAUGAACGCUGGCGGCGUGCCUAAUACAUGCAAGUCGAGCGAACAGAUGAGAAGCUUGCUUCUCUGAUGUUAGCGGCGGACGGGUGAGUAACACGUGGGUAACCUACCUAUAAGACUGGGAUAACUCCGGGAAACCGGGGCUAAUACCGGAUAAUAUUUUGAACCGCAUGGUUCAAUAGUGAAAGACGGUUUCGGCUGCCACUUAUAGAUGGACCCGCGCCGUAUUAGCUAGUUGGUAAGGUAACGGCUUACCAAGGCGACGAUACGUAGCCGAACUGAGAGGGUGAUCGGCCACACUGGAACUGAGACACGGUCCAGACUCCUACGGGAGGCAGCAGUAGGGAAUCUUCCGCAAUGGGCGAAAGCCUGACGGAGCAACGCCGCGUGAGUGAUGAAGGUCUUCGGAUCGUAAAACUCUGUUGUUAGGGAAGAACAAAUUUGUUAGUAACUGAACAAGUCUUGACGGUACCUAACCAGAAAGCCACGGCUAACUACGUGCCAGCAGCCGCCGUAA
rnacentral:rRNA from 1 species